rnacentral:rRNA from 1 species
CCUACGGGAGGCAGCAGUGAGGAAUAUUGGUCAAUGGGCGGGAGCCUGAACCAGCCAAGCCGCGUGAGGGAAGAAGGUACAGCGUAUCGUAAACCUCUUUUGUCAGGGAACAAAGUCGGGGACUAGUCCCCGGAUGAGGGUACCUGAAGAACAAGCAUCGGCUAACUCCGUGCCAGCAGCCGCGGUAAUACGGGGGAUGCGAGCGUUAUCCGGAUUGAUUGGGUUUAAAGGGUGCGCAGGCGGCCUGUUAAGUCAGCGGUAAAAGCCCGGGGCUCAACCCCGGCGAGCCGUUGAAACUGGUGGGCUGGAGUGGGAGAGAAGUACGCGGAAUGCGCGGUGUAGCGGUGAAAUGCUUAGAUAUCGCGCAGAACCCCGAUUGCGAAGGCAGCGUACCGGCUCGAAACUGACGCUGAGGCACGAAAGCGUGGGUAUCGAACAGGAUUAGAUACCCUAGUAGUC